rnacentral:rRNA from 1 species
AUGCUUUACACAUGCAAGUCGAACGGCAGCACGAGAGAGCUUGCUCUCUUGGUGGCGAGUGGCGGACGGGUGAGUAAUAUAUCGGAACGUGCCCAGUAGCGGGGGAUAACUACUCGAAAGAGUGGCUAAUACCGCAUACGCCCUACGGGGGAAAGGGGGGGAUCGCAAGACCUCUCACUAUUGGAGCGGCCGAUAUCGGAUUAGCUAGUUGGUGGGGUAAAGGCUCACCAAGGCAACGAUCCGUAGCUGGUUUGAGAGGACGACCAGCCACACUGGGACUGAGACACGGCCCAGACUCCUACGGGAGGCAGCAGUGGGGAAUUUUGGACAAUGGGGGAAACCCUGAUCCAGCCAUCCCGCGUGUAUGAUGAAGGCCUUCGGGUUGUAAAGUACUUUUGGCAGAGAAGAAAAGGCAUCCCCUAAUACGGGAUGCUGCUGACGGUAUCUGCAGAAUAAGCACCGGCUAACUACGUGCCAGCAGCCGCGGUAAUACGUAGGGUGCAAGCGUUAAUCGGAAUUACUGGGCGUAAAGCGUGUGUAGGCGGUUCGGAAAGAAAGAUGUGAAAUCCCAGGGCUCAACCUUGGAACUGCAUUUUUAACUGCCGAGCUAGAGUAUGUCAGAGGGGGGUAGAAUUCCACGUGUAGCAGUGAAAUGCGUAGAUAUGUGGAGGAAUACCGAUGGCGAAGGCAGCCCCCUGGGAUAAUACUGACGCUCAGACACGAAAGCGUGGGGAGCAAACAGGAUUAGAUACCCUGGUAGUCCACGCCCUAAACGAUGUCAACUAGCUGUUGGGGCCGUUAGGCCUUAGUAGCGCAGCUAACGCGUGAAGUUGACCGCCUGGGGAGUACGGUCGCAAGAUUAAAACUCAAAGGAAUUGACGGGGACCCGCACAAGCGGUGGAUGAUGUGGAUUAAUUCGAUGCAACGCGAAAAACCUUACCUACCCUUGACAUGUCUGGAAUGCCGAAGAGAUUUGGCAGUGCUCGCAAGAGAACCGGAACACAGGUGCUGCAUGGCUGUCGUCAGCUCG